rnacentral:rRNA from 1 species
CGUUAUCNGGAAUUACUNGGGCGUAAAGCGCGCGUAGGCGGCUAUAUAAGUCGGAUGUGAAAGCCCUGGGCUCAACCUGGGAACUGCAUUCGAUACUGUAUAGCUAGAGUUUGGUAGAGGGAAGUGGAAUUCCACAUGUAGCGGUGAAAUGCGUAGAUAUGUGGAGGAACACCAGUGGCGAAGGCGACUUCCUGGACCAAAACUGACGCUGAGGUGCGAAAGCGUGGGUAGCAAACAGGAUUAGAUACCCUGGUAGUCCACGCCGUAAACGAUGUCAACUAGCCGUUGGGGGAAUUUGUCCCUUAGUGGCGCAGCUAACGCGAUAAGUUGACCGCCUGGGGAGUACGGUCGCAAGAUUAAAACUCAAAUGAAUUGACGGGGGCCCGCACAAGCGGUGGAGCAUGUGGUUUAAUUCGAUGCAACGCGAAGAACCUUACCUACCCUUGACAUCCAGAGAAUCUGUUAGAGAUAGUAGAGUGCCUUCGGGAACUCUGAGACAGGUGCUGCAUGGCUGUCGUCAGCUCGUGUCGUGAGAUGUUGGGUUAAGUCCCGUAACGAGCGCAACCCUUAUCCUUAGUUGCUAGCAGGUCAAGCUGAGAACUCUAAGGAGACUGCCGGUGAU